GGCAGGGGCCACAAGGUAAGGAAUGUAGGCAGCUUCUAGAACCCAUGAAAGGAUAGAGAAUGGAUUGUCCCCUAGAGCCUCGAGAAUGAAUGCGUCCUUGCCUAGAUCUUGAUGAUAGCCCAGGGAAACCCAUUCCAGAUUUCUGAACUUCAGAACUGUCAAACUGUUCUCACUGGAUCAAGAACUGUGUUAUCUGAAUUGAUUUGCAAAUUCUGUGGUCCUUCAAGACCUAAAAUCCAGAAAAAGCAACACAACGGAUUCUGUGCAAAACUUCCUUCUUCAAGCAGGAAUCUGCUGCGCUUGGAUAUGUCUAACUGAUGUACUCGGGCUCACAUUGACCAAGCUAGCUGCAAAUGAGGGGCUGAGGAGGCAAGUUUUCUGUCUUUUAUCUUGGAGAGCCAGGGCUCUGAACUAGGAAACUUCCCCAAAUAUAGCAACAAUGUUCAGAUACUAGGCAACUAGAAAAUUUGCCAAUGUUUUGUGCAUUAAACAAAUUAAAA
rnacentral:lncRNA from 1 species